GAUGAACGCUGGCGGCGUGCCUAAUACAUGCAAGUCGAGCGAACGGACGAGAAGCUUGCUUUUCUGAUGUUAGCGGCGGACGGGUGAGUAACACGUGGAUAACCUACCUAUAAGACUGGGAUAACUUCGGGAAACCGGAGCUAAUACCGGAUAAUAUUUUGAACCGCAUGGUUCAAAAGUGAAAGACGGUCUUGCUGUCACUUAUAGAUGGAUCCGCGCUGCAUUAGCUAGUUGGUAAGGUAACGGCUUACCAAGGCAACGAUGCAUAGCCGACCUGAGAGGGUGAUCGGCCACACUGGAACUGAGACACGGUCCAGACUCCUACGGGAGGCAGCAGUAGGGAAUCAUCCGCAAUGGGCGAAAGCCUGACGGAGCAACGCCGCGUGAGUGAUGAAGGUCUUCGGAUCGUAAAACUCUGUUAUUAGGGAAGAACAUAUGUGUAAGUAACUGUGCACAUCUUGACGGUACCUAAGCAGAAAGCCACGGCUAACUACGU
rnacentral:rRNA from 1 species